GUUGGAAUCGCUAGUAAUCGCGGAUCAGCACGCCGCGGUGAAUACGUUCCCGGGCCUUGUACACACCGCCCGUCACACCAUGGGAGUUGGUUUUACCCGAAGCCGGUGCGCUAACCGCAAGGAGGCAGCCGACCACGGUACGGUCAGCGACUGGGGUGAAGUCGUAACAAGGUAGCCGUAGGGGAACCUGCGGCUGGAUCACCUCCUUU
rnacentral:rRNA from 1 species